rnacentral:piRNA from 6 species
AGAUACCGUCGUAGUUCCGACCAUAAA